ACGAACGCUGGCGGCGUGCUUAACACAUGCCAGUCGAACGGAAAGGCCCUGCUUUUGUGGGGUGCUCGAGUGGCGAACGGGUGAGUAACACGUGAGUACCUGCCCUUGACUUUGGGAUAACUUCAGGAAACUGGGGCUAAUACCGGAUAGGAGCUCCUGCUGCAUGGUGGGGGUUGGAAAGUUUCGGCGGUUGGGGAUGGACUCGCGGCUUAUCAGCUUGUUGGUGGGGUAGUGGCUUACCAAGGCUUUGACGGGUAGCCGGCCUGAGAGGGUGACCGGCCACAUUGGGACUGAGAUACGGCCCAGACUCCUACGGGAGGCAGCAGUGGGGAAUAUUGCACAAUGGGCGGAAGCCUGAUGCAGCAACGCCGCGUGCGGGAUGACGGCCUUCGGGUUGUAAGCCGCUUUCGCCUGUGACGAAGCGUGAGUGACGGUAAUGGGUAAAGAAGCACCGGCUAACUACGUG
rnacentral:rRNA from 1 species